GGUAAAAUACGGACACAAGUGAGUAAUGGAUUACGCGUGUAAUUCUUGGGCUUUUCGUAAAAUUUUUGAUUAAAAGCAGAGCUUGUGGCCUUUCUGUUGCAGCAGGACAGGCAUGCAUACGCGUCUAGUCGUUGUUGUGUGGCAAGGACACGUGGGUGCAUUUGUCGGUUGCCGGUUUUGUUUUCCUUGGCGGUUGGACGCGUUCAGCUAACGGCUACACAGCCGGCAAUUACAAACUCUUAAUGCAAUUUUCGUUUCAAUGAUUGCAACGCUGAUUUCUUUUGAAUAGAAAAAGCUAAAGUUUUAAAGGCAAAUUCAGAAAAAAACUAAGUGACAAACUCACUUGAUAUGCCGUGUUUUGUUGGCAGAGCUGGUUGUGUUGCGCGAUUCAAUCUGUCCUUAACUAGCGUUUGUAUUGUGUGUGUGGCGCAGCCGACAACGAGUGUCGUUAGUCGUUGAAACGGCUUUUCUGUGCUUACUUGGUAGUACACAAAUAUUCUGCCAGUGAUUUAAGCUGUGUAAUGUACAUACAUAUGUAAAUAUUUGGAGUUGGUUCAUAAGGAAAAAAAUGGAAACAGCUGGAAAGCUUCGCCGGAUGAACGCCGGAAUACCCCAAUCAUUUCUAGAUAGCUUCAAUGAUGAUUGCGAUAAGUGCAACAACCUUCAAAAAUUAUUUGUUGACAAAAUUACAGAAUUAAUUAAUUGAAAAACAAAACAAAGUGAUCAUUAAUAUUUUGGCGGAACAUACCGGUUUGUUACAAAAUCUAACUCAAAAUGAGAAGGGAACUGUUGGAGCUAUUUCCAAAUUUCCUAUCAAAACAGAUGAUGUUAUCGUGAAAUUAGAGGCGGAAAUAUGUAAAUGAUGAUAAUAGAUAUUGCUAUAUUUCAGCAGUGCAAUACUUGUUGCAAGGAGAGGUUGUAAAAAAUUUCGAAAAAGUUUUGGCGCGUAAAUUUUGCCUUGAAUACAACACUAAUGGAAUUGGCAACAAAAAGAGCUUUAAGGAUCUUUCUAUGGUGUAUACCAUACUUAAAAAAGCAAUUGGAAAAACAGCAGUAAAUGCGAAAGCGGAAAUGAGGAGGGCUUUUCAGGUCGUAAAAAAGAGGAAAAUCCUAAUAUAAAAACUGAUUUUUUUGCGUUACACAUACGUACCUCUCCCAAAAUAGAGUUAAGUUUUUAAUAAUAAUUUAAGUGUAAUAUAUGUAAAUAAAAUUUUUUUAUAAAAAAUGA